GAACAAGUAGCCCUAACAAAACACGACACAUGCUCGUUACUGCCACCUCUGGCCAGACCUGUUUACAUCACUUUGCCCUGUUGGAAGAAAAGCACAUGGAGGAAUCAUCUCAACUUUCAUCCGACGUAAUCCGUCAAUAUUCAGUGUUUUUGAAGAGUGUUAAUGAAGUGGACCUGUAAACUGAGCCCAUUUUCAACGUGGAAUCAGAGGGUCAUCAGAAGACAUACUCUGAAGCACGGACAGCACAGCCACUUUUGCCCCUUGCUCUGCAUGUUUUAUCACCUUCAGAAG